rnacentral:rRNA from 1 species
AGUGAACGCUGGCGGUAGGCCUAACACAUGCAAGUCGAACGGCAGCACAGUAAGAGCUUGCUCUUACGGGUGGCGAGUGGCGGACGGGUGAGGAAUACAUCGGAAUCUACUUUUUCGUGGGGGGGAACGUAGGGAAACUUACGCUAAUACCGCAUACGACCUACGGGUGAAAGCAGGGGAUCUUCGGACCUUGCGCGAUUGAAUGAGCCGAUGUCGGAUUAGCUAGUUGGCGGGGUAAAGGCCCACCAAGGCGACGAUCCGUAGCUGGUCUGAGAGGAUGAUCAGCCACACUGGAACUGAGACACGGUCCAGACUCCUACGGGAGGCAGCAGUGGGGAAUAUUGGACAAUGGGCGCAAGCCUGAUCCAGCCAUACCGCGUGGGUGAAGAAGGCCUUCGGGUUGUAAAGCCCUUUUGUUGGGAAAGAAAAGCAGCAGGUUAAUACCCCGCUGUUCUGACGGUACCCAAAGAAUAAGCACCGGCUAACUUCGUG